UACGGGGGGGGCAAGCGUUGUUCGGAAUUACUGGGCGUAAAGGGCUCGUAGGCGGCCAACUAAGUCGGAUGUGAAAUCCCCAGGCUCAACUUGGGAACUGCAUCCGAUACUGGAUGGCUUGAAUUCGGGAGAGGGAUGCAGAAUUCCAGGUGUAGCGGUGAAAUGCGUAGAUAUCAGGAGGAACACCUGUGGUGUAGACAGCUUACUGGACCAUCACUGACGCUGAGGCACGAAAGCGUGGGUAGCAAACAGG
rnacentral:rRNA from 1 species